AUUGAACGCUGGCGGCAGGCCUAACACAUGCAAGUCGAACGAGUGGCGGACGGGUGAGUAAUGUCUGGGAAACUGCCCGAUGGAGGGGGAUAACUACUGGAAACGGUAGCUAAUACCGCAUACCAUCGGAUGUGCCCAAAUGGGAUUAGCUAGUAGGUGGGGUAACGGCUCACCUAGGCGACGAUCCCUAGCUGGUCUGAGAGGAUGACCAGCAACACGGGAACGGGGACAAGGGCCAGACUCCUACGGGAGGCAGCCGUGGGGAAUAUUGCAAAAUGGGCGGAAGCCGGAUACAGCCAUGCCGCGUGUAUGAAGAAGGCCUUCGGGUUGUAAAGUACUGUCAGCGAGGAGGCGUUACUCGCAGAAGAAGCACCGGAUAACUCCGUGCCAGGAGCCGCGGUAAGAC
rnacentral:rRNA from 1 species